UGGGGAAUCUUGCACAAUGGGCGAAAGCCUGAUGCAGCAACGCCGCGUGCGGGAAGAAGGCCCUAGGGUUGUAAACCGCUUUCAGUAGGGAAGAAAAUGACGGUACCUACAGAAGAAGGUGCGGCCAACUACGUGCCAGCAGCCGCGGUGACACGUAGGCACCAAGCGUUAUCCGGAUUUAUUGGGCGUAAAGAGCUCGUAGGCGGUUUGGUAAGUCGGGUGUGAAAACUUAGGGCUCAACCCUGAGAGGCCACUCGAUACUGCUAUGACUAGAGUACGGUAGGGGAGCGGGGAAUUCAUGGUGUAGCGGUGAAAUGCGCAGAUAUCAUGAGGAACACCAGCGGCGAAGGCGCCGCUCUGGGCCGUAACUGACGCUGAGGAGCGAAAGCAUGGGUAGCAAACA
rnacentral:rRNA from 1 species